UACAGAGGUGGCAAGCGUUGUUCGGAAUUACUGGGCGUAAAGGGCGCGUAGGCGGCCUUCUUAGUCGGCCGUGAAAUCCCCAGGCUCAACUUGGGAACUGCGUCCGAUACUGGAUGGCUUGAGUGCGGGAGAGGGAUGUGGAAUUCCAGGUGUAGCGGUGAAAUGCGUAGAUAUCUGGAGGAACACCGGGGGCGAAGGCGGCAGCCGGGACCGACACUGACGCUGAGGCGCGAAAGCUAGGGGAGCAAACGGG
rnacentral:rRNA from 1 species